rnacentral:rRNA from 1 species
AUUGGACAUGGAGGCAACUCUGAUCCAGCCAUGCCGCGUGAAGGAAGACGGCCUUAUGGGUUGUAAACUUCUUUUAUACAGGAAGAAACCUUUCCACGUGUGGAAAGUUGACGGUACUGUAAGAAUAAGGAUCGGCUAACUCCGUGCCAGCAGCCGCGGUAAUACGGAGGAUCCAAGCGUUAUCCGGAAUUAUUGGGUUUAAAGGGUCCGCAGGCUGUUUGUUAAGUCAGAGGUGAAAUCCUACCGCUCAACGGUAGAACUGCCUUUGAUACUGGCAAACUUGAGUUAUUGUGAAGUAGUUAGAAUGUGUAGUGUAGCGGUGAAAUGCAUAGAUAUUACACAGAAUACCGAUUGCGAAAGCAGAUUACUAACAAUAUACUGACGCUGAGGGACGAAAGCGUGGGUAGCGAACAGGAUUUGAUACCCUGGUAGUCCACGCCGUAAACGAUGGUCACUAGCUGUUCGAUGUACAUUGGUACGUUGAGUGGCUAAGCGAAAGUGAUAAGUGACCCACCUGGGGAGUACGCUCGCAAGAGUGAAACUCAAAGGAAUUGACGGGGGCCCGCACAAGCGGUGGAGCAUGUGGUUUAAUUCGAUGAUACGCGAGGAACCUUACCAGGACUUAAAUGUAAGUUGCAUGAUUCAGAAAUGAAUCUUUCUUCGGACUACUUACAAGGUGCUGCAUGGUUGUCGUCAGCUCGUGCCGUGAGGUGUCAGGUUAAGUCCUAUAACGAGCGCAACCCCUAUCGUUAGUUGCCAUCAAGUAAAGUUGGGAACUCUAGCGAAACUGCCGGUGCAAACCGAGAGGAAGGUGGGGAUGACGUCAAAUCAUCACGGCCCUUACGUUCUGGGCUACACACGUGCUACAAUGGUCGGUACAGAAAGCAGCCACUAUGCAAAUAGGAGCUAAUCUUUAAAACCGAUCUCAGUUCGGAUCGCAGUCUGCAACUCGACUGCGUGAAGCUGGAAUCGCUAGUAAUCGGAUAUCAGCCAUGAUCCGGUGAAUACGUUCCCGGGCCUUGUACACACCGCCCGUCAAGCCAUGGAAGCUGGGGGUACCUAAAGUCGGUGACCGAAAGGAGCUGCCUAGGGUAAAACUAGUGACUGGGGCUAAGUCGUAACAAGGUAGCCGUACCGGAAGGUGCGGCUGGAAUACCUCCUUUCU